rnacentral:rRNA from 1 species
GCAUAAGGGUAGUAAUACUCUGGUGGCGACCGGCAGACGGGUGAGUAACGCGUAUGCAACCUACCCUGUACAGGGGAAUAACCCGGAGAAAUUCGGACUAAUACCCCAUAAUUUUAUCUGAGGGCAUCCUUGGGUAAUUAAAGAUCCGUCGGUACGGGAUGGGCAUGCGUAACAUUAGCUAGUUGGUAAGGUAACGGCUUACCAAGGCUUUGAUGUUUAGGGGUCCUGAGAGGGUGAUCCCCCACACUGGUACUGAGACACGGACCAGACUCCUACGGGAGGCAGCAGUGAGGAAUAUUGGUCAAUGGGCGCAAGCCUGAACCAGCCAUCCCGCGUGCAGGAAGACGGCCCUAUGGGUUGUAAACUGCUUUUCCGAAAGGCGAAACUUACCGACGUGUCGUUAAUUGACGGUA